rnacentral:rRNA from 1 species
GAUGAACGCUGGCUACAGGCUUAACACAUGCAAGUCGAGGGGAAACGACAUCGAAAGCUUGCUUUUGAUGGGCGUCGACCGGCGCACGGGUGAGUAACGCGUAUCCAACCUGCCCACCACUUGGGGAUAACCUUGCGAAAGUAAGACUAAUACCCAAUGACGUCUCUAGAAGACAUCUGAAAGAGAUUAAAGAUUUAUCGGUGAUGGAUGGGGAUGCGUCUGAUUAGCUUGUUGGCGGGGUAACGGCCCACCAAGGCGACGAUCAGUAGGGGUUCUGAGAGGAAGGUCCCCCACAUUGGAACUGAGACACGGUCCAAACUCCUACGGGAGGCAGCAGUGAGGAAUAUUGGUCAAUGGGCGAGAGCCUGAACCAGCCAAGUAGCGUGCAGGAUGACGGCCCUAUGGGUUGUAAACUGCUUUAUAAGGGAAUAAAGUGAGAGUCGUGACUCUUUUUGCAUGUACCUUAUGAAUAAGGACCGGCUAAUUCCGUGCCAGCAGCCG